rnacentral:rRNA from 1 species
ACGGGUGAGUAACACGUAUCCAACCUGCCGUCUACUCUUGGACAGCCUUCUGAAAGGAAGAUUAAUACAAGAUGGCAUCAUGAGUCCGCAUGUUCACAUGAUUAAAGGUAUUCCGGUAGACGAUGGGGAUGCGUUCCAUUAGAUAGUAGGCGGGGUAACGGCCCACCUAGUCUUCGAUGGAUAGGGGUUCUGAGAGGAGGGUCCCCCACAUUGGAACUGAGACACGGUCCAA